ACGUGCCCUGUGAACAUCAGUAUUUGUAUUAGGAAUGAUUUAUAUGCGUUAGUGAUAGUGUUAUUAGUGUUUAUGUGACGUUAUCUUAGUUUUAGUCUGUCUUUAGUGGGUAUAAUUAUUACGAGGUGGUGGUUUUAAUGAUUCCCAGUGUGCCCUGUGAACAUCAGUAUUUGUAUUAGGAAUGAUUUAGAGGCGUUAGUGAUAGUGUAAUUAGUGCUUAUGUGAGGUUAUCUUAGUUUUGCUCUGACGUGGAUGCUUAUAACGAUGAGGUGGUUUAAAAAUUCCAUACGUGCCCUGUGACCACAUGUAUUUGUAUUAGGAAUGUUUUUGAAGGAGUGAUGUUAAUUGGUAUUAAUGUAAUGGUGUGAGAUGAUGUUUUGCUCUGGUAUGGAAUCUUAUAAUUGAGGUAGUUUAUUCCCUGACGCAAGUAGUCGAGGAUAGUUUAUAAAGGUAAUUCACUUCUUCACAUUUGACUUAAUUGCUAAAUAUGUAACAGGGAAUCAGUGUAUUAUGGGAUGCAGGACAACAAUGUAAUUAUUUGCGAGUACACUGUCAGGGUUUUUUAUUACCGCAAUGUUGAAAAAGCAGACAGGUAUAGUUCGAUAGUUAAGCGGUAAUGGUAUUGAGGUCAUUAAUUACGGGUAGUUAAGCGGUAGUUGUCGCUGGUUAACGCUCGUGAGGUAAUUAGACAGUUAUAAGCUGUAGUUUGACAGGGUGAGUAUAGUUAGCGAGGUCAUUAUAUGUAUAGUUAAGCCGUAGUUUCGUUGAAGGGCACUCGUUAACUCGUUCAUUUAAAGACAUUCGAUAGGCUGUAGUAAGUAUAGAAAGGUAGUUCGGUAGUUAAGCGGGAUAGGUUUGCUGACAAGGUGAAUAGGUGGUGAUCGAGGUCAUUACAGGUAUAGUUAAGCGCUAGUUUCGUUGAAGGGCACUCGUUAACUCUUUCAUUUAUAGACGGCAGUAAAUAUAGGAAGGUAUAUAUAGUUAAGCGGUAGUUGUUUCGUUGAAGGGCACUCGUUAACUCGUUCAUUUAUAGACAUUCGAUAGACCGCAGUAAAUAUAGGAAGGUAUAGUUAAGCGGUAGUUGUUUAGUUGAAGGGCACUCGUUAACUCGUUCAUUUAUAGACAUUCGAUAGACGGCAGUAAAUAUAGAAAGGUAUAGUUGAGCGGUAGUUGUUUCGUUGAAGGGCACUCGUUAACUUGUUUAUUUAUAGACAUUCGAUAGGCCGCAGUAAAUAUAGGAAGGUAUAGUUAAGCGGUAGUUGUUUAGUUGAAGAGCACUCGUUAACGCGUUCAUUUAUAGACAUUCGAUAGACCGCAGUAAAUAUAGGAAGGUAUAGUUAAGCGGUAGUUGUUUAGUUGAAGGGCACUCGUUAACUCGUUCAUUUAUUGACAUUCGAUAGACGGCAGUAAAUAUAGGAAGGUAUAGUUAAGCGGUAGUUGUUUAGUUGAAGAGCACUCGUUAACUUGUUUAUUUAUAGACAUUCGAUAGACCGCAGUAAAUAUAGGAAGGUAUAGUUAAGCGGUAGUUGUUUAGUUGAAGAGCACUCGUUAACUUGUUUAUUUAUAGACAUUCGAUAGACCGCAGUAAAUAUAGGAAGGUAUAGUUAAGCGGUAGUUGUUUAGUUGAUAUUUAUAGGCAUUCGAUAGACCGCAGUAAAUAU